UGUAACCAAUCUGGAGGAAGGUGCAGAACCAAGGGUGGGAGAGGCCCCGGACAAGAAUUUCACAGAUGUCCUGGAAAUUGAUGACAUGAUUAAGAAUUGCCAGGAAAGUCCAGAAGAAUGGCUAUGUGAAGUAGCAGUCACCAAAAGCAA